rnacentral:misc_RNA from 1 species
GAUGAAGAACGUAGCGAAAUGCGAUACGUAGUGUGAACUGCAGAAUUCAGUGAAUCAUCGAAUCUUUGAACGCACAUUGCACCUCUCGGUAUUCCGGGAGGUAUGCCUGUUCGAGCGUCAUUUGUACCCUCAAGCUCUGCUUGGUGUUGGGUGUUUGUUCCGCCUCUGUGUGUGAACUCGCCUCAAAACAAUUGGCAGCCGGCGUACUUGUUUCGGAGCGCAGCACAUUUUGCGAUCCAGAUCAACGUACAGCGGCAUCCAAGAAGCCUUAUUUAACGCUCUUGACCUCGGAUCAGGUAGGGAUACCCGCUGAACUUAAGCAUAUCAAUAAGCGGAGGA